UAAAAUUGCAUAAAAUGAAAUCAUUAUCACUCAGCAACUAAAGAAGACAGCUCAGCUGAUGAAGAUCCAAGUUGUAAAUGACUGCCGCAGAAUCUUCCUGCUCUCUUCCAUCCUUUUGUACCUGAGAAAAAGCAGAAGUUGUACCUGCAAAUGCAUGAAGGCAAUAAUCCUGCAGUACUCUUCCAAUAGCAUUCUGCUAUUCUGGGGAAAAAAAGAAAUCUUGUUUUGA
rnacentral:lncRNA from 1 species